rnacentral:rRNA from 1 species
CACUUAGUGAUAUGUGACGGGUGAGUAACGCGUGAGGAUCUGGCUUCAGGAGGGGGACAACAGAGGGAAACUUCUGCUAAUACCGCAUAUGCCGAGAGGUGGGAAAAAGAUUUAUCGCCUGAAGAUGAGCUCGCGUCUGAUUAGCUAGUUAAUGGUGGGGUAAGGGCCUACCAAGGCGACGAUCAGUAGCUGGUCUUGGAGAGGAUGAUCAGCCACACUGGGACUGAGACACGGCCCAGACUCCUAUCGGGAGGGCCAGCAGUGGGGAAUUUUCCGCAAUGGGCGAAAGCCUGACGGAGCAAACGCCGCGUGAGGGAGGAAUGCCCUGUGGGUUGUAAACCUCUUUUAUCAGGGAAGAAGAUCUGGACGGUACCUGAUGAAUCAGCAUCGGCUAACUCCGUGCCAGCAGCCGCGGUAAGACGGAGGAUGCAAGCGUUAUCUGGAAUUAUUGGGCGUAAAGCGUCCGCAGGUGGCUAAUUAAGUCUGCUGUUAAAGCCCAGGGCUUAACUCUGGAUAGGCGGUGGAAACUGAAUAGCUUGAGUGCGACAGGGGUAGAGGGAAUUCCCAGUGUAGCGGUGAAAUGCGUAGAUAUUGGGAAGAACACCAGUGGCGAAGGCGCUCUACUGGGUCGCAACUGACACUCAUGGACGAAAGCUAGGGGAGCGAAAGGGAUUAGAUACCCCUGUAGUCCUAGCUGUAAACGAUGGAUACUAGGUGUUGGACGUAUCGACCCGUUCAGUACCGAAGCUAACGCGUUAAGUAUCCCGCCUGGGGAGUACGCACGCAAGUGUGAAACUCAAAGGAAUUGACGGGGGCCCGCACAAGCGGUGGAGUAUGUGGUUUAAUUCGAUGCAACGCGAAGAACCUUACCAGGGCUUGACAUGCCGCGAAUCCUUGUGAAAGCAGGGAGUGCCUUCGGGAGCGCGGACACAGGUGGUGCAUGGCUGUCGUCACCUCCUGUCCUGAAAUGUUGGGUUAAGUCCCGCAACGAGCGCAACCCUCGUCCUAAGUUGCCAUCAUUAAAUUGGGCACCCUGGGGAAACUGCCGGGGAAAACCCGGAAGAAA